CAACAGGGUGACAGCAGGUGGCACUGGGUGACAGUAGGGUGACAGCAGGGUGACAGCAGGGUGACAGUAGGUGGCACUGGGUGAUGGCAGGGUGACAGCAGGGUGACAGCAGGGUGACAGCAGGUGGCACUGGGUGACAGUAGGUGACAGCAGGGUGACAGCAGGUGACAGUAGGUGGCACUGGGUGAUGGCAGGGUGACAGCAGGGUGACAGCAGGUGGCACUGGGUGACAGUAGGUGACAGCAGGGUGACAGCAGGUGACAGUAGGUGGCACUGGUGAUGGCAGGGUGACAGCAGGGUGACAGCAGGUGACAGUAGGUGGCACUGGGUGGCAGCAGGUGACAGCAGUGGCACUGGGUGACAGCAGGGUGACAGCAGGGUGACAGUAGGGUGACAGUAGGUGACAGCAGGGUGACAGCAGGGUGACAGCAGGUGACACUGGGUGACAAUAGGUGACAGCAGGGUGACAGCAGGUGGCACUGGGUGACAGCAGGUGACAGCAGGGUGACAGCAGGUGACACUGGGUGACAUCAGGUGCCCCCAGGUGACCCCAUGCCCCCCCCAUCCCCAUCCCUGUGCAGCCCUGGGGUCCCUUUUCCUAUGGGGUGGAAGCGCAGUCCUGGCAGUGGGGUGACAGUGGGGUGACAUCAGGUGCCCCCAUGCGACACUGGGUGACAGUGGGUGCCCCAGGUGACAGUGGGUGACAUCAGGUGCCCCCAUGUGACACUGGGUGACAUCAGGUGACCCCUUGUGACCCCACGCCCCCCCCCCUUUGGCAGCUGAGGCGACGCCCUGCGCUCCCCGCGCCCCCCUUUUCCUAUGGGGCGGAGGUUCGAUGCCUGCAGCAGGCGCUGCUCCUCACCCCCUUUGUGGCGGCCCUGGGGGGCGCCUGCUUCCUGGGCACGGCGCUCUGCCUCAGCGGGGAUCGGCUGCGCGACGAGGCCGCCGUGGGCGCCGAGGACGCGGACGGGGAUCUGCUGGUGCCAAGGGGCGGCCGCUCCACCAAAGUGCCGGUGGCUCACGUCCUCGUGUGACCUUGGGGACAUGUGGGGCAUCAAUGGGGACACGUGGGACCUUGGGGACACGUGUGAUGUCAUUGGGGACACGUGUGUCCCACUUUGACUUUGGGGACACGUGUGGCGUCACUGGGGACACGUGUGGCAUUAUGGACACAUAUGACAUCGUUGGGGACACGUGUGACAUCGCUGGGGACACAGGAGUCCCAUUAUGACCUUGGGGACACGUGUGACAUCCUUGGGGACACUUGUGUCCCAUUGUGCCAUCAGGGACACGUAGUGACUU